CGCCAAUCCAAAGUGUAUUAUACAAGCAACACAAGAAAAAAAGCAAUGUAUACAAUAUGUACAAAAAAUGUAUGUGAGUUUGUUUGUAUUGUUCGAUCCAGGAGUGAACAUGCAGAUUUUAAGAAAUUAUUUGCAAACAGUUAAAUAAUCAAGAUAAUUCUCAGCAUUAUAAAUAUUUCCAAUUAUGUGGCUGCACUACACAGUAACACCGCUGAUGAUAUUCUUAAUCUUCUGGUUUAGUUUGUUUAUCAUGCAUCUCAUUUUAAGAAUUUCAGUUUCAAAGUCUUCUUAAAAGAAACAUCCUCUCCUCACUUCUAACUUCUAUUCCACUUUUUAUAGGAACUAGAUGACGCUGAUCAUCUGCCCGUGAGCAAUGUCAUCAAGAUACACUGUCAGUCAGAUUCCCUCCAGAGGCUGCUGGACUAAGACUGACAGCAGAAGUUAAUCAAUCUCACACAUGUGAACAGAUCUUCAUGAGUGUCAGGUAGUAUCUUGAUCCAACUUUUCAACUUUUACGUUCAAAGCAAAAUGCUGAUUUGUUUAGUGUCACUAACCUGGAAUUACCUUUACCUGUGGUUAAAAUGACCCUAACUGUGAAAAAAAAAAAAAAAAAAUACAUGCAAAGGAAACAUACAAAUAGUCUGUUCUUUUGUUGUUUAUUUUAGUCUAGUCAAAAACAAAAAAAAAAAAAAAAAAACAAGCAUAUAUGAAAUGGAGGAAAAUAUACUAAUGUAAAAAGCAGUUUUUAUGAAUAUACUGUAUAUGCAAGAACAAUAAUUUUAGCCUCACAGUCUUGGCAAAAACACAGGCAUUAUUUAAUAAGACAAAGAACAUGUUAUAUUUAACUAUCAGACAAGUGCCCAAUUACUGUUUAAUUGCUGUACAGCUCCAGUCGAAUCAUGUAAUAAUGUAAUAACUUGAAGGGCAGUUUCACUUAAAGCUGUUAAACAAAAGUGCACAAAUGAAAAAUUAUUUAAUACAUAUUAUAGAUACUGUAUAUCUGUUUGCCUACAUAAUGUGUACAGAUAAUACAGUGCCUAUCUCUAAAGUAUUUCAGUCAAGCAUGUGCAUAAGCAGUUCACUCAGAUUCAUUUCUUAAGCAAUGCAAGCGUUACUGUGUCUGCUGCUGUGAACCUCUUUUAGCCGUCUGGUGUCUUCUCUGCACUCAGGGACCUUUAAACAGAUGAAAGAUGAUGCUUUAUGCAGCUGAUGUGAAUAAUGAGCUCAUUCAUUUGACAUUUUAUAGUC
rnacentral:lncRNA from 1 species